CAAAACAAAGUGCCUCAACAACAACAAACAAAUUCACUAAUAGUUGCCGCAUUAAUGAGCUUUAUUUAUCACAAAUAUUGUCGGGUUAAAUUUAUGUAAAUGAUGUAUCUAUUAACUAUGCAUGCUUUCAGCUAAACAGUUGUCUAUUGCGCUCGACAAAAACAAACAGACAAAUAGGAAAUAUGCAAAUUUGAUUUGUAUGUGUUAGUGUAUGUGUGCGUGUUAAAACGGACACUUUGGCCCAAGAACACAAUGAAGUUGAGUUGAAAUCCCCUAUUCUAGUCUCAUUGGCAUGUCCUGGGAUACCGCAAUUGAGCAUUUGGCUGGCACAUUAACAGCAGCCAGUCAACAGCAAAAGCACAGCAUUGAGUGGAGAGUGAGACAUCAAUGUCUGGCACGUGGCGAAGUUUAUCGUAUUGAUAAGAUGAUAAGG